rnacentral:lncRNA from 1 species
UUACAAUGUUCUAACUUGUUCACGAUGUUCUAACUUGUUCUGCCCAACGUACUGGUUUCUGUCUUGUCUGACAUGGAGCUCAAACAGGAAUCGUCAACAUAGUUUGGACUUCAGGCUGGAAGCUAAAGAUGGCAGCAUAUGAAAGCUGCCAGAGGACUAUAAAGCCUUGGAUGCCUGGGGGAAAAGAAUUACAGCAAAAGAAAAUGAAAAGCAUCUAAGGCCACAAGAAGAAGCUGGGAUGCAUUGGUGACCCGCUGCACGUCUGCAAGUGCCUCUGAGCCUGCUCCCAGGACGGCCAUCCUGCUGCCCACCCGACUCCUACAACCUGCUGAUCCCCAGCUUCCCAGCAAGAUCUAGGCUAAUGACUUCCUAGUUCCUUGCUUCUGUCAUGGUUAAGGCUGCCGGAUUUAGUAAACAAAAAUACCAGACAUAAAGUUAAAUUUGAAUUCACAACAAAUAAUUUUUUAGUUAACGCACCCAAGUGAGACAACACUGAAAUGCACAGAUCUUUCCAAAGACAACUCUUGCAAGCCCCUCAGUUACGAGUCUCGGACGGUGAGGAAGAGCCUGCUCGUGUGUUCAAAACACUGGAGGACCCUUGGUCUGAGAACUAACCAAGGAUGAUCCACGACCUAGAGGAAGACAGACCAAGAUCAAAGAAGACCCCAUUUGCUUGUACCUGGAGUGGCACCACCCUGGACAUCAGGUGGUCAAAAUAAAGGUCCACUGCUUCGGUGAAGCCCUUGUAAGUUGUCCUCAGCCUCAUGCCAGGGUCUUGGAGUAGCCAGCUUGAAGUGUAAACGGGGGAAAGGAAGGAUGUUAGUGUCACAGUGGGUUUGCUGUGAGCAGGCUGUUGAUGCGUGAGAAGGGAGAGGCCCCCCAGUGCUCCAGAAUGACCUGUGCCCUCCUCCACCCCACUGAGCCCAGAAGUGGGGAGACAAUGCAAACCGAUUCUGGGGCGA